rnacentral:rRNA from 1 species
UACGAAGGGGGCUAGCGUUGCUCGGAAUUACUGGGCGUAAAGGGCGCGUAGGCGGACAGCUUAGUCAGAGGUGAAAGCCCAGGGCUCAACCUUGGAAUUGCCUUUGAUACUGGCUGUCUUGAGUGCGGGAGAGGUGUGUGGAACUCCGAGUGUAGAGGUGAAAUUCGUAGAUAUCGUAAGGAAGGCCAGUGGCGAAAGCGAGACUCUGGCUAGAUGCUGACGCUGAGGCACGAAAGCUGGGGGAGCAAACGGG